rnacentral:lncRNA from 1 species
GGCUGAAACACAUUAGCGCUUUUGGCAAGUGCUCUAUCAGAGGACAAUGGGCUUAGGCGCGUGCACAAGUCGACCCCAUGUUUUUAUUUUCUAUCGUCUUUGAACCUAAACAGAGAUUCCCGGUCGGAAUAUUAUCGCUUUUUUACGAGAAAAAUGGCAUAAAAAUAGAUUGACAUGCUUCGAAGUACUGUAAUGGAAUAUUUAGAAUUUUUUGGUCACGAAACUCGUCGGGCGCGUGACCCUUAUUUACCCUUCAGAUAGUGUCUUGAAUGCACGAACAAAACGCCGCUGUUUGGAUAUAAAUAUGGAUUAUUUGGGACCAAACCAACAUUUGUUAUUGAAGUAGCAGUCCUGGGAGUGCAUUCUGACGAAGAACACCAAAGGACCUGAGCCCUAGGACCAUGUCUCAGGACUACCUGGUAUGAUGACUCCUUGCUGUCCCCAGUCCACCUGGCCGUGCUGCUGCUCCAGUUUCAACUGUUCUGCCUGCGGCUAUGGAACCCUGACCUGUUCACCGGACGUGCUUGUUGCACCCUCGACAACUACUAUGAUUAUUAUUAUUUGACCAUGCUGGUCAUUUAUGAACAUUUUAACAUCUUGACCAUGUUCUGUUAUAAUAUCCACCCUGCACAGCCAGAAGAGGACUGGCCACCCCUCAUAGCCUGGUUCCUCUCUAGGUUUCUUCCUAGGUUUUUGGCCUUUCUAGGGAGUUUUUCCUAGGGAGUUUUUCCUAGCCACCGUGCUUCUUUCACAUGCAUUGCUUGCUGUUUGGGGUUUUAGGCUGGGUUUCUGUACAGCACUUUGAGAUAUCAGCUGAUGUACGAAGGGCUAUAUAAAUACAUUUGAUUUGACAUACCCUCCUGUAUAUCCCCACAUUCCCUCCUGUAUAUUCCCACAUUUCACCCUGUA